rnacentral:pre_miRNA from 1 species
UAGAUUUUGUGAAAGUCAAACUUUGCCAACUUUGACCAAGUGUAUAGAGAAAACUGUCUACAUCUACAAUACCAAACAUAUACAUUCUGAAAAUAUAACUCACAAUGUAUCCAAUGAUGUGCAUUUGGUAUUCUAGAUGUACCUACUUUUCUCUAUAAACAUGAUCAAAGUUUGUAAUGUUUGACUUUUGUAAAAAUCUA